rnacentral:rRNA from 1 species
ACACAUGCAAGUCGAACGAGAGAUGAGGAGCUUGCUCUUCAAAUCGAGUGGCGAACGGGUGAGUAACGCGUGAGGAACCUGCCUCAAAGAGGGGGACAACAGUUGGAAACGACUGCUAAUACCGCAUAAGCCCACAGCUCGGCAUCGAGCAGAGGGAAAAGGAGCAAUCCGCUUUGAGAUGGCCUCGCGUCCGAUUAGCUAGUUGGUGAGGUAACGGCCCACCAAGGCGACGAUCGGUAGCCGGACUGAGAGGUUGAACGGCCACAUUGGGACUGAGACACGGCCCAGACUCCUACGGGAGGCAGCAGUGGGGAAUAUUGCACAAUGGGGGAAACCCUGAUGCAGCGACGCCGCGUGGAGGAAGAAGGUCUUCGGAUUGUAAACUCCUGUUGUUGAGGAAGAUAAUGACGGUACUCAACAAGGAAGUGACGGCUAACUACGUGCCAGCAGCCGCGGUAAAACGUAGGUCACAAGCGUUGUCCGGAAUUACUGGGUGUAAAGGGAGCGCAGGCGGGAGAACAAGUUGGAAGUGAAAUCCAUGGGCUCAACCCAUGAACUGCUUUCAAAACUGUUUUUCUUGAGUAGUGCAGAGGUAGGCGGAAUUCCCGGUGUAGCGGUGGAAUGCGUAGAUAUCGGGAGGAACACCAGUGGCGAAGGCGGCCUACUGGGCACCAACUGACGCUGGGGCUCGAAAGUGUGGGUAGCAAACAGGAUUAGAUACCCUGGUAGUCCACACCGUAAACGAUGAUUACUAGGUGUUGGAGGAUUGACCCCUUCAGUGCCGCAGUUAACACAAUAAGUAAUCCACCUGGGGAGUACGACCGCAAGGUUGAAACUCAA